rnacentral:sRNA from 1 species
CUUCUGCGGGCCGCCACCGUUGGGUGCU